AAUUCCCGCCAGAUUGCCUUCCUGGUCCCGCCUUACGUUGCAUUUGCCCAGAUUUUUGCAUUUUCAGUGAUUAGUUUCAAGAAUUUGUUUGUGGUAUUUGCGGUAAGUUGUUUCAAGUACCUUUUUGUGACAAUAUGCAAUUUUCAGACAAUAAGCAUGCGGAGACGUGGAUUUUUGUACCGAAUUCGAAAAUAUUUGAAGCUUUAUUAUCAAUUCCUUCUUCCCGGCUUACUUUUGG
rnacentral:sRNA from 1 species